rnacentral:rRNA from 1 species
GACGAACGCUGGCGGCGUGCUUAACACAUGCAAGUCGAACGGAAAGGCCCUGCUUUUGUGGGGUGCUCGAGUCGCGAACGGGUGAGUAACCCGUGAGUAACCUUCCCUUGACUUUGGGAUAACUUCAGGAAACUGGGGCUAAUACCGGAUAGGAGCUCCUGCUGCAUGGUGGGGGUUGGAAAGUUUCGUCUGUUGGGGAUGUACUCGCGGCUUAUCAGCUUGUUGGGGGGGUAGUGGCUUACCAAGGCUUUGAGGGGUAGCCGGCCUGAGAGGGUGACCGGCGGCACUGGGACUGAGGGACGGCCGAGACGGGUACGGGAGGCAGCAGUGGGGAAUAUUGCACAAUGGGCGGAAGGCUGAUGCAGAAGCGCCGCGUGCGGGAUAACGGCCUUCGGGUGGUAAACCGCUUUCGACUGUAACGAAGCGUGAGUGACGGUAAUGGAUAAAAAAGCCCCGGCUAACUACGUG